GUAGCUGGGACUACAGGCGCCCGCCACCACGCCCGGCUAAUAUUUUUGUAUGUUUUAGUGGAGACAGGGUUUCACCCUGUGAGCCAGGAUGGUCUCAAUCUCCUAACCUCGUGAUCCACCCGCUCGGCCUCCCAAAGUGCUGGGAUUACAGGCGUCAAGCCACCGGCCCGGCCUGCCCAGCUACAUUUUGUAGUUUUAGUAGACAUGGGGUUUCCCCAUGUUGGCCAGGUGACCUGCGUGCCUCAGCCUCCCAAAGUGCUGGGAUUACAGCCGUGAACCACCACGCCCGGCCAUGCAUGAGGUUUUAAUCAAUAAAUCUGUUUUUUUUAGGGCCCCAACAAUUGUCUUUUCCCACAGAGAUGCAGGGGUCCUGCCGCGGGGAGGGAGCCUUUGGGAGCUGCCUAUCCCCGCGGUCCUGCCCACUUGCUCAGCUGGGCUGGGGUCAUCGGGAGGCUCCUUAACUCCUACAUCUGGCACCUCGGCCAGGAUCACUGGAACCUGGGCUUAGCGGUCACUGUCAAGCAGGACAUGUCCAUGUGGCCUCCUGGUGUGGCCUGAGCUUCCCUGAACAUGGAGGCCAGGUUCCAAGAGUGAGCACUGGGAGAGCCAGAGCUCCCAGAGAGCUGGCAGAAGCAAAGGCCUUUUCUGACCUGGCCUCAGAAGCCACACACCAUCAUUUCCACCUCCUUCCAUCGGUCUCCAAAGCCGCAAUCAAGGCAAGGGGAUCCGCAGCCACCUCUUUUUUUUUUUUGAAACAGGGUCUUGCUCUGUCACCCAGGGUCAAAGUAACAAGCUGCAGUCCUGGCCAACGGGAGCAGGUCCUGUCAGGUUGGAAACUGACCACACUCACGGUCCUUCCUCACUCCACACAAAAACCAGCAUUCUAAAGGAACUCGGUUCUGUUCUGCCUUCUGCUGAGGGGCCCUGACUUACAACAGAAACAAGCAAACAAGACAAGUAAUCAAUCCAUCCCCUCCGGCCCAGCUCAUGACACCCUGGGUGACCCCUCAAACACGGGUGUUUGCCAAGUUCACCAAGUGGCUUCUUCCCCCAAAGGUAAUUCUACAGCUACUUUCAUUCUCCCUUUAAUGUCUUCCACAGGGUGAGGAAGAAUGGCAGCUAGGCUGCACCUCUGGUCAAAUAUCACAGACAGUUCUUAGGCUAGUCCUGCUCUUUGAAGCUCUGAGCUAUCCUUCUACCCUAACAAAAAGGCAAGGUUAAAAAGAGUUUUUUUUAAGAAACAAUAGUUGGGUCAGGGAUGGUGGGUCAGGCCUGUAAUCCCAGCACUUUGGGAGGCCAAGGCAGGCAGAUUCCUUGAGGCCAGGAGUUCAAGACCAGCCUGGCCAAGAUGGCAAAAUCCCAUCUCUACUAGAAAUACAAAAAUUAGCCAGGUGUGGUGGCACACACCUGUAAUCCCAGCUACAUCGGGAGGCUGAGACAGGAGAAUCCUUGAACCCAGGAGGCAGAGGUUGCAGUGAGCUGAGAUCGCACCACUAUACUCCAGCCUGGGUGACAGAGCAAGACUCCAUCUCAAAAAGAAAAAGAAAAAAGAAACAGCUGGGAGGCUGAGGCGGGUUGAUUGCCUGAAGUCAGGAGUUGGAGACCAGCCUGGGCAACAUGGUGAAACCCCGUCUCUACUAAAAAUACAAAAAUUAGCCACUGUGGUGACACACCGACUACUCCAGCUACUCAGGAGGCUGCGACAUGAGAAUUGCUUGAGCCCAGAAGGCGGAGGGCAGAGGUUGCAGGGAGCUGAGAUCGCACCAUUGCACCACUCCAGCUUGGAAACAGUGAGACUCUGUCUUAAAAAAAAAAAAGAAAGAAAGAAAGAACAGUUGGGUCAGGCAUGGUGGCUCAGGCCUGUAAUCCCAGCACUCGGGAGGCUAAGGUGGGAGGAUUGCUUGAGCUCAGGAGUUUGAGACCAGCCUGGGCAACAUGGCAAAACCUCAUCUCUACUAAAAAUACAAAAAUUAGCCGGGUGUGGUGGUGCACGCCUGUAGUUCCAGCUACUCAAGAGGCUGAGAUGGGAGGACUGCUAGAACCUGGGAGUUUGAGGCUGCAGUGAGCUAUGAUCAUGCCACCGCACUGCAGCUUAGGCAACAGAACAAGACCGUCUCUAAAAACAACAACAAAAACACUAGUUGUACCUGUUUGUCACAAAAUAUUACAAGUUUUUCAGCAAACAACUAA
rnacentral:lncRNA from 10 species